GCACGCGCAAGUCUAGUCCGGUCCGUUGCUUUCACCCGGCCGCUUUUGGGCGCCUGUGCGGGGAAGGCUGAGCCACCUGCAACUGGUCCGCCCUGACCUGGCAUCCGAGCUGUACGUGUAAAGUCGCCUGUGUGGGCUGCUGCUGCAGGACCCCCGGCUGGGUCUACACCGGCGUCCUUGUGAAGUUUGCUGGAUGAGAUUCAGGAGAGCAGGAAAAUGUGUAAAGGACCCAUACGGUGGAAGGAGAGAAGCAACUCCUCUGACCUCCCAGUGCGCAGCACCUGCACAUCGGUGCACACACAAUGUAAAAUUAAAAACAAAACUUCUGGGUCUGUCUGUGAGAGUCUAGACAGGUUUGACUGAGGAAGAAAGACUUGCCAUUAAUGUGUUGGACGCCACGCUAGAGGCUAGGGUCUCAGACUGAUUAAAAGAAGAAAGUAAAUCAUCUCGUUCUGCUUCCUGGUGGCAGAUGGCAAUGGGAUCAGCUGCCUGGCACUCUCGUGGCUAUGACAUCCCCACCAUGAUGAGCUGUUCCCUUCCUUAAGAUGCUUCUGUCAGGUUUGUAGACAGCAACAAGCACAGUAACUAUUACCGGCUCAGUGGCCCAGGCGUUGAAAUCGCAGGUGGGAGCCACCCCUAUCCGUUGGUAUUGUGAGCACUGAGGCACCAGUGUGUGGCAUGGAUGAUGGCGGUGCCGCAGGAAACAGGUGAAGACGAUGUCAGGUGCCAGAGGGCUUUGGAACCCCUCACACUGUCACGGUCCCCCUGCCUGUGCGCAUGGGCAUGCUAUUCCUAGAGUGUCUACCUAAGAGCUAGUCACAGCUACCCAGUGCAUCUGCCUUGCAGGCGGAAGGCACAAAGAUAAUGCAGGCUUCUUGCUCAGCUUUUGUCCCUUCAAAUUCAGAAGAAGACGAGGAGGAAGAGCAGAAGUCAUCCAAGGAUCUCCAGUCACAGCCCAAAGUGUGUAGUCACCUUCAUUUCUAGGAACAGCAGACCCUUGAAGACAGACCACCCCGUGAGGAGUCGUCUCAUGGGACAGUAAGGAUUUCUUCAGGCCACCCUGAAAACCAGAGCAGAGACGACGAGAAACCAAGCCACGCCCUGACCAGUAGCACUGAGUUAUUGUUUGUAUUGGCUAAACUGUUUACGAUCCUGCAGAUGGAACCAGGGUCUUGUGUACGCCAGGCAGGUGUCCUACCACUGAACCACACUGCCAGCUUGAGUGUGAUUUUUGAGCAUAGCCCUUGCAUUCAGGCAUGGUGGCUUAGGCCUGUAAAGCCAACACUGUCAGGAUGGAGUCACCGGGAUCAGGAGUUCAAGAUCAUCAGCUAGACAGUUGUUUGAAGCCAGCCUGGACUAGAUGAGAUACUGUCUCAAAGCUAAUGGGGUCAGAGCUGUGGGUCCAUUGGGAGAGAGCUUGCUGAGCACACUUCGAGCCCUAGGUUUUGCUCUGCCUGCUCCAGUAUCCUUGGGAGCUGUGGGAAAGUCCUGAGUAAGCCCAUGGGAAAGAGCACACCAUCUACUAAGACACAGGCUGGUGAAUGCCAGCCAAAGGCACAUCCAGACAGAAACAAACUGCUUGCUGCUAGCAGGACUCACAUGAUAGAGAACAAAUCUGCUUGCACUUUCUCCCCAGAACAGUGCAGAGAGGUGGUUAACUGUACCGCGCUUUGCUCUGCCCUCUGCUCUUCAUCUGUAGAAAAGCAGGUUCUGAAAUAAACGCUGGGCUGUUAAGUAUUGGCCAACAGACCUCCCGGAUCUA